rnacentral:misc_RNA from 1 species
GAUGAAGAACGUAGCGAAAUGCGAUAAGUAAUGUGAAUUGCAGAAUUCAGUGAAUCAUCGAAUCUUUGAACGCACAUUGCGCCCGCUGGUACUCCGGCGGGCACGCCUGUCCGAGCGUCAUUUCAACCCUCAAGCCCUCCUUCGGGAUGGGCCUGGUGUUGGGGCUCGGCCGCCAUCUCCGGCGGCCGUCCCCUAAAUACAGUGGCGGUCACGUCGCGACUCCUUUGCGUAGUAGAAACACCUCGCUCCGGAUAGCAACGCGGUCCACGCCGUAAAACCCCCAAUUUUCAAUGGUUGACCUCGGAUCAGGUGGGAAUACCCGCUGAACUUAAGCAUAUCAGUAAGCGGAGGA